rnacentral:misc_RNA from 1 species
GAACUGCGAUAAGUAAUGUGAAUUGCAGAAUUCAGUGAAUCAUCGAGUCUUUGAACGCACAUUGCGCCCCCUGGCAUUCCGGGGGGCAUACCUGUCCGAGCGUCAUUGCUGCCCUUCAAGCCCGGCUUGUGUGUUGGGUCGUCGUCCCCUCCGGGGGACGGGCCCGAAAGGCAGCGGCGGCACCGCGUCCGGUCCUCGAGCGUAUGGGGCUUUGUCACCCGCUCGAUAAGGACCGGCCGGGCGCCAGCCGGCGUCUCCAACCUUUUUUUCUCAGGUUGACCUCGGAUCAGGUAGGGAUACCCGCUGAACUUAAGC